UUGCUAUGUGAAUUUCAAAGCCCAGAAAAUGUAAAAAGGAGCAACAUUUGCUGAAGGCAUCAGAGAAGUGAAUGCAAUCAAGCAGUGUUGGUUUGUGACCUUGAAGCUUCCCAGAAUAGCUACCACAUUUGGAAUAAUGGAAGCCCUGGAUUCAAAUGCCUCAGGAUGACCUCAUCAGCAGCAGCCCCCUUCCUCCUACUGUGAUGUCUCCAGGCUUUAUGUCAAUGUUUAGUCCGUUAGCAGGAAUCCAGAAAAUCAGGCUUUUGUUUUCAAAAAUACAAAAUAAAGGCAGCCAUUGUGGAAUAUUGCAUAACUGAUUUAAUCCUAAUGUGAUGUCAAAACAAAUUUACCCCGCAGUUGAGAGAACGCUUUAUCUACCACGGAUACCAUUGCUGUGUGGAUGCUGGGUGCUCUUCCAAUAAAUUGUUGGGCAGUUGUUUUCAUGAACUCUCAGAAUUCUCCAUCCCAGGCACAUUUCUGUGGGGUAAUUAAAACAGGCUUUUUAUAAUAGCAGUCUGAAACAGUAUGCAUCAUCUAUACACACUGAGCUGAAAAAAUAUUGUAUUCAUAAAUUAAAUUGGACAUUUUGAAAGGUUAACGCAAAAAGCUACUUUGCUCUUGGUAAUCAAUAAGGAAAAAAGGAUUUCAGGUAAUUAAAAUCUGUGAAGUGAACAUUUCUCAUUUGGAACCUAUUAAAAAGAAUAUAAGCAGACAGAGGCAAGAGAUAAAUAUGGAAAACAAGUGCUUCAGAAUUUUUGUUAAAUGUUGGCAAGGGAAUAAUAACGUAUAUUGAGAGGUCUGAAAGGAUAUAACAUGUUAUUAUAGAUAAUAUAGCAAAUUAUACAGUCUGUAUAUAAGUUAUGUGUGUGUAUUAUUUAAUUUAUACAUUAGGCUGUGAUUUUAAAAUAUGAGUAUUCUUUAUUUUGGGCUCCAGUUUAGCUAUUAUGUAUGUCUUUCUUACUUAAGGUGUGACUCAGGAACCAGUAUGAACCAUGGAUGCUUGGGAAAAUACAGAAUUCCAGGUCCAUCUCUGACCUGCUGAAUCAGGAUUUGCAAUUUCAUGAGAUCCCUUGGGGAUUCAUGCGUACACUACAGUCUGAGAACAUGGCUUUGGGUGAUUGUCUCAUAGUAAGGUUCUUGUCAAACCAAGCUACAUAUAUCAGACACUUGAAACAAGAACUGACAUUAGUACCAGCUGUUGGAUGA
rnacentral:lncRNA from 12 species